rnacentral:rRNA from 1 species
AUUGAACGCUGGCGGCAUGCCUUACACAUGCAAGUCGAACGGUAACGGGCCUUCGGGUGCCGACGAGUGGCGAACGGGUGAGUAAUACAUCGGAACGUGCCCGAUCGUGGAGGAUAACGAGGCGAAAGCUUUGCUAAUACCGCAUACGAUCUACGGAUGAAAGCAGGGGACCGCAAGGCCUUGCGCGGACGGAGCGGCCGAUGGCAGAUUAGGUAGUUGGUGGGAUAAAAGCUUACCAAGCCGACGAUCUGUAGCUGGUCUGAGAGGAUGAUCAGCCACACUGGGACUGAGACACGGCCCAGACUCCUACGGGAGGCAGCAGUGGGGAAUUUUGGACAAUGGGCGCAAGCCUGAUCCAGCCAUGCCGCGUGCAGGAUGAAGGCCUUCGGGUUGUAAACUGCUUUUGUACGGAACGAAAAGCCUUCUUUUAAUACAGGAGGGUCAUGACGGUACCGUAAGAAUAAGCACCGGCUAACUACGUG